UUGUGCUAAACCCGUGUGUUGCGAACUGAAGGCAGAGUUCCCUUAACCAUCCUUGUCUGCUCCUCUCUGCAGCCUCUGGAAAACGUGGAAGCUUCUCUCUGCGCGGCGUGCUCUAAAGUGCUGGUCUUCUGGUUGCCUGUCCACCUUCACUUUUCUCCUAGAACCCCUGUCGUGUGGCCUGGGGGCUCCAGAAGGAACCAGCCCCAGCAGAUGUUAACGGAGGGCGAAGAAACGGAUCCUCCCCACGAGCCCCCAAGAAGAGCUAGGCCUGCUGAUCCCUUGAUUUGGACCAGUGAGAUGGACUUCGGACUUCAGCUCUGCGAGGCUGGGGCUCCACUCCAGAAUAGCGCCUCUGAGAAGGCGGAGCCCCUGCCCUCCAACCCCGGCAUCCGGUCAGAGGGCCCUCUUCCAGGAGAGGUGGGAUGUCAGCAUUUCUCAACCUGGCCCAGCUACCUGUGGUCGAGGCCAAGUCCCGGGCAAGCGCAGGAGGGAGCUGGGGGCUCCCUUCCUCCUUCUGGCCCCUACUUGUGGGGUGGAGGCUCCACCGUGCCCUGAGAGCUCGGGGGCCCCCACCGCCUUGGCACCUGGGGCAGACGUUCCUGCUGGAGGAGGCAAGCCCAGAAGACCAGAGGCCGCUGCCCGCUGUCCGGGCCCACCAAGCACUCUGCUCCCAAGACAAGGUGUCACUCCGAGGGAAGCACACCAUGCUUCCCAGCGCCCAACAGAAACUAGGCUCAUGGUUGCCUAGGGCAGGGCUGGGGGGUGGGGGCGGUGUGAGGGGUACCAGGGCUGAUGGCUGAAGGGUGCCGCAGGCUUCCUUUCUGGCAGUGCAUGGCAUUUGGGGAAGAGGUAUUUUGCACUUACCUUGCGGGAGACCACCUUUACUUCCCACCAAAAUGGACAUAACACACAGGAGACUCCUUAAAAGCCAGGACACAACCGUGCCAUCUCCUGGGACCCUUCAAGAAGAGGAGCAAAGCUCUCCCCUUCCCACCCACCCCCGGGAGCGGCCCCGCUUGGGACCGACACCCCAAGAGCUUUUCCCAAGACAUUUGGAUCCCGAGUUCAACCAGCCGAAACAAAACGUUGGGAGUGAAAUAAAUGCCUUCCACUUA